ACGAGACAACAGCAAGGAUUCACAGUCUGAGAACGACUAUCUACAGGAGUGCCUUGAAGUGGUGCAGCAAGAGUUCAUGAUCUUCAACCGAGAGAAGUUGAAAAAGCGUCAGGAGGAGGGUCAGUCAGAGGCCGGGAAUUAUGACGCUAGCGGCGACGGGGACGGAGAGGCAGAAAGCGGAGCCGCCGAUGAGGACGUGAACGAGCCAGAACCAGGACCGGAAGCUGAUCCUGAGCAGGCGCCCGAGUCUGCCUCCAAACUGAGCAUGUGCGGCUCAGUGUGUUCCUCCCCCGGCAGCUGCUAGCGCCACAUCGCCUCACAGUGACGAUGGCAGCUCUCUCUGGCGGCUGCGGUGUUUGUGCCAUGCCAAUAGAUACCUUCUCACCUCUCUCUCAUGUCGUAGCCUACAGCGGAGGAAACGGACAGCGUGGCAACUUGACGCACAGCAGCAGCUCCCAAAACGGUUC
ensembl:lncRNA